UGGACAUGAUGACUGAUUACCUGAGAGUAAAUGAUGAAAUAUCAAGAAAAUUCCUCUAGAUAGUCAAGUUCUGAUCCGG
rnacentral:snoRNA from 1 species